AUAAUCGUAUCUCCUCUUCCCAAAUUGUCCAUUUUUCUGGUCAAUCUGUAAUUCCUCUGUAUCGGCAGCGAAUUAUCGUUGAUUUUCGACUUCGUCGAAAGCAUCGGCGUUCCCCGAGCGAUCGGCGUGUUAAUGCUUUAAUCGUUUCAGCCCAGCGUUCGAUUGCGACGCGAUAAAGCGGCGGGCUGCACGAAGAAUUUUCGAAGGAAUUCACACCGAUAGCCGCGGUGGCAAAGGCUUUACGAUGUGGAAUUCUACGACGUGGAAAAUGUUCCUGCUACAGACGACGUGCUCCACUUUCAUUGCCAUUCUCUCGGCCGUACAUUAAACGCGUGUCCGCCAUUGCGGCUCGUCUUAUGGAACAUGCAUGAGGAAAGAAACCAUCCAACAAAAUCGUCCGGCGAGUCUAAGAAGGUCGUUGCCGCAGAGGAAGCCACGAUAUCUUCGAGAGUCGACGGUUAAAUUCAAUCGCGAGCAAGAUUUCUUCAACGAUCUCGGCGAACGACGACGGCGUAUUACGGCGUAUAGCGUCGCGCGACGCUAUUUCUCGAAAUGGCAAAAUUUCGAAAAAGCGUAUUCCAGUUGCGAUUCGGCAGACCGCCGUCGUCUAACAAAAAGUUCAAGACGUUCUAAAAAAAAAAGAUUGUCGCAUUUUGAAAAUCGUCCGAACGUUAAUUGACGCUAAUAAUAAUCGACGCUCAGAUUUUAUGAAUUUAUGACAAAAAGCGAGUAGUUCAAAUGCAAAAUAGCGCGAACAUUUGAGCGUUAGAAAUUAAAUAAAGAUCUAUGCAGUGCCCGCAUCAUGCAAACGAA